GUAUUUUUGUAUUUUUGGUAGAGAUGGGUUUCCCCAUGUUGCCCUGGCUGAUCUCGAAUUCCUGAACUCAGUUGAUUCACCCGCCUUGGACUCCUGAAGUGGUAGGAUUACAGGCACUGUGCCGGGCCCUAGAUAUUUAAAUGAUGUCCAUAAUAUGGGUCCUGUUGUAAGAAACAACCUGGUUGGUUACGUCUGUCGUAUUAAUACAUCUGUUUUCUAGGUUGACAGUUAUACUUUGUCACAGAAGCAGUAAAACCAUUUCCUUUUAGAUUGUCCUUUCCGUAAACCUCACCAUCAGAUCACGAAGCCUCCCUAGGCGUCCUUUUUCCUCCUGCACCCGCUGAAGUCAACAAUCAGAUGUCCUCACCUCCCCUUGGAUCUUCCACAUCAAACCCCAUUUCCCUC
rnacentral:lncRNA from 10 species